GGAUGUGAGGGUGAUCUGGCUGCAACAUCUGUCACCCCAUUGAUCGCCAGGGUUGAUUCAGCUGAUCUGGCUGGCUAGGCUGGUGUCCCCUUCCUCCCUCACUGCUCCAUGUGCGUCCCUCCCGAAGCUGCGUGCUCAGUCGAAGAGGAUGACCAUCCCCGAUAGAGGAGGACCGUUCUUCAGUCAAGGGUAUACGAGUACUGCUAGAACCUCCAAACAAGCUCUCAAGAACAGCUAAUGUUUGAGUAUCUAGAUAGCAAUUAUGGAGCCAUUCUGGGUGGUCCCAGAGAU
rnacentral:snRNA from 1 species